rnacentral:rRNA from 1 species
CCUACGGGUGGCAGCAGUCGGGAAUUUUGGGCAAUGGGCGAAAGCCUGACCCAGCAACGCCGCGUGAAGGAUGAAAUCCCUCGGGAUGUAAACUUCGCAGAAAAGAGAGCGGUAUCAUUUGUAAGCUCCGGCUAACUCCGUGCCAGCAGCCGCGGUAAUACGGGGGGAGCAAGCGUUGUUCGGAUUUACUGGGCGUAAAGGGCGCGUAGGCGGUAGCACAAGUCAGUUGUGAAAUCUCCGAGCUUAACUCGGAAAGGUCAACUGAUACUGUGCGACUAGAGUGCAGAAGGGGCAACUGGAAUUCUUGGUGUAGCGGUGAAAUGCGUAGAUAUCAAGAGGAACACCUGCGGCGAAGGCGGGUUGCUGGGCUGAAUGACGCUGAAGCGCGAAAGCCAGGGGAGCGAACGGGAUUAGAUACCCUUGUAGUC